GAUGAAGAACGCAGCGAAAUGCGAUAAGUAAUGUGAAUUGCAGAAUUCAGUGAAUCAUCGAAUCUUUGAACGCACAUUGCGCCCGCCAGUAUUCUGGCGGGCAUGCCUGUCUGAGCGUCAUUUCAACCCUCAUGCCCCUAGGGCGUGGUGUUGGGGAUCGGCCAAAGCCCGCGAGGGACGGCCGGCCCCUAAAUCUAGUGGCGGACCCGUCGUGGCCUCCUCUGCGAAGUAGUGAUAUUCCGCAUCGGAGAGCGACGAGCCCCUGCCGUUAAACCCCCAACUUUCCAAGGUUGACCUCAGAUCAGGUAGGUAUACCCGCUGAACUUAAGCAUAUCAAUAAGCGGAGGA
rnacentral:misc_RNA from 1 species